rnacentral:rRNA from 1 species
CACGUAGGGCGCAAGCGUUGUCCGGAAUUAUUGGGCGUAAAGAGCUCGUAGGCGGUCUGUCGCGUCGAUCGUGAAAACUUGGGGCUUAACCCUGAGCUUGCGGUCGAUACGGGCAUGACUGGAGUUCGGCAGGGGAGACUGGAAUUCCUGGUGUAGCGGUGAAAUGCGCAGAUAUCGGGAGGAACACCAGUAGCGAAGGCGGCACUCUGGGCCGGUACUGACGCUGAGGAGCGAAAGCGUGGGGAGCAAACAGG